GACGAACGCUGGCGGCGUGCUUAACACAUGCAAGUCGAACGGAAAGGCCCCUUUGGGGGUACUCGAGUGGCGAACGGGUGAGUAACACGUGAGUAACCUGCCCUUGACUUCGGGAUAACUUCAGGAAACUGGGGCUAAUACCGGAUAGGAAUCCUUGCUGCAUGGUGGGGGUUGGAAAGCUUCGGCGGUUUUGGAUGGACUCGCGGCUUAUCAGCUUGUUGGUGGGGUAGUGGCUUACCAAGGCUUUGACGGGUAGCCGGCCUGAGAGGGCGACCGGCCACAUUGGGACUGAGAUACGGCCCAGACUCCUACGGGAGGCAGCAGUGGGGAAUAUUGCACUAUGGGCGGAAGCCUGAUGCAGCAACGCCGCGUGCGGGAUGACGGCCUUCGGGUUGUAAACCGCUUUCAGCAGGGGCGAAGCUUGUGGUGACGGUACCUGCAGAAGAAGCACCGGCUAACUACGUG
rnacentral:rRNA from 1 species